rnacentral:lncRNA from 1 species
AUCCAAUGACAGGGAUCUGGAGCAGGGCCUUCCCAUUAGCUGGUCUGUGUCCUCUUUCCUGAAACCCUCCUAGAUGGGUCCCUGUGACCUCUUCUUCAACAGCAGCGGCCGGAAGAGCAACAGCUGCUGUUCAUAAACUCUGCUUUACACCUCAUGUCAACCACUGGAAUCUGUUGCUGGUUUGUUUUGAGUCUGGGACCCCAGCCCAUGGACCGUACUGCGCCGAUGGAUGGUCCUACCUGGGAUGACAUCCAGCUCUAGGAUGCACUAGUGUCUGAUUUUCUCUCUGUACAGGCUGCUUUCGUAUGACUUCAACCAAAGGAUCUGACAGAAACAUCCUAAGAAGGAAAGUUUAUUUCAACUCCUGGUUUCAGAGCGGGGCAGACAUGUCAGAGCUCACGGCAGCCGGAGCAUGUGAUGGAAGACCCUCACGUCACAGUGGGCCAGGGCUAGAGGCUGGGCUGCCUUCUGAGGUCUGACUCAAGUGACCUCCUUCCACUAGCAAAGCUCCACUUCCCAUUCCACAGCCUCCCAGAAUAGAACCACCAGAUGGGGGAUGAGCUCUCCAAGCCUGAGCCAGUGGGGGCACUUCAGAGUCAAGCCGCAAUAUUCUACCAUUGGACCCAGAAGCUCGUGGGCAUCUCGUGACUCAAGCUGCAUCCUGUCUAAUU